rnacentral:lncRNA from 1 species
AUAUGUACUGUAAUUUAAGUGCUGCCUUGCAAGCAGUAUAAUUAGAGGUUUAUAUGCUAAAAAUGAUGCUUCACAUUUUAUUCUGGCAACUUUUUCAUUCCACCUUUACUUUCCGUACCGUCUUUCUGACUUUUUAUCACCACAGUGAUUUUAUGAACUCCUCCACAGAAAAUAGCACCCUUUUCACUCCCGAUAACAAGGAGCUCUGCUGGCUGUUAUUUCAGGGCUAUGAGAGAGAGAGAGAGAGAGAGAAGCGGCAGAUGAGACACAUUCAGCCCAACUUGCCACGUUGUAAUUUAGCUGUCAGAGGAAAUGUCUGCACUCCUGCAGGACUGUCACAAUUCAGAAAAAUCAUGUAUGUCAUGUCAAUGUCAGUUAAGAGCGAAACCCGAUCGGCUGUUUUGAUGGGCCUGCCGAAGUUGAGUGACGCCAAUAUGCUGUCAGAUUUCUGCUAUAAAGCACUAAACUGCCGUCGUUUUGAUGGACCGUUUUAUGAAACACAACAGGAGAUGCAAGCAGAUUGUCCGAGAAGCUGUUUUCCAUUCAGAUGUUGGUUUAUAAUGCUAUGCUGCAGAAAGCAUGAUGCAUCGUUCGUCGUCGUAGGGGAAACGCACCCCAGAGUGGUUAGUGACUCACAUACCAAAUGCAAGUUAUCAUUACUUCUCUCAAAAUGAGGCAACAGCUUGAAAUAUAAGUUAUAAUUGCAUUUAAAUGUACUUUUAAAGGUCGAUUUUCAGUCCAACUGAAGCAAUAAGCAAAACUCCAACCCACACAGUUUCUCUCCCACUGUCUAAUUCAUGCCCGAACACCUUCCCCCUCCACCGUGAGAGCGCUCAGCAUCCCAUGUUAUCAACACAAAACUCUGAAAACACAAACUGCCUAUCGGCGGCACAAAAUUACACAUUGUGACUUUAGAGCCGUUCUGCCGAAUGGAGAUGCGCAACACGCUGAGAAAAACUGUGUCAUUAACAAAGACCGACAGAUGGCGGUUCUGGAAAGAGCCCAGAUAUGAGAUACAACAGGCAGAGGAAGGAACUGGUUUGGGCCAGUAAUGGCAAAUUGUUCUCAAUAAAAUAGCUGUUGUGCUUUAUGUCUGUGAGAUCAUUGAUUUUAGCAGAUUGAACGGGUCACAAAACAUUUUUAGCUACUCAGAUUUCUACAGAAGUGAUGCACAGGUCUCAUGUUUAUCAGAUUGUGUGAUCGUUUUCUUUGCAGUUCCACUUGAUUAUGUCAAGAUGGCUGUAAUUUUUUAUACCGAAACUCUUUAUUUGCUGAUAAUAUUCACCUCUGCUGCUUUUCUAUCAAAUAUUGCAGCUAAGAUUGUGUUGAUCGUUUUCUUUGUCAGUUCCACUUGAUUAUGUCAAGAUGGCUGUAAUUUUUUAUUACCGUAAACUCUUUAUUUUGCUGAUAAUAUUCACCUCUGCUGCUUUUCUAUCAAAUAUUGCAGCAGGUUUGAUGGCAUAGUGUUUGGUUAUGUUUUGGUUACAAGAACUAUAUUUGAUUUUAUUGACGUCCAACAUACUGACGGCUAAUAUUUCAUUAUUAAAUUUAAACAACUCAGAUUCUGGUCUGCUCAUCACACAAAACUAUUAUAUGGCUUCUGGAGACUUCAGUCAUUUUACAUUUAUUAUGUUUUUUUGUUUGUUUGUUUGUUUUCCCUGCUAAAUUGUCUGUGUUCCACAGGAAAAAAAAAAAAAAAAAACUUUGGAAUGACAUGGAGGUGAGUAAAUAAUGCUGGAAUUCACUUGUCCUUUAAUGGAGUGUAAUCUCUAUGCCAAACAGAAUUGCAAAAACAAUAGUGACUUUAAAAUAAGUCCUCCAUUGCUCGGUCAUAUAUAACGUCAGUUAUAACGUCUAGUCUAGCUGUUUUUUUGUUGUUGUUGUUGUUGUUUGUUUGUUUGUUUUGUUUUGUUUAUUGCAUGUUUUGUGAUCUUGUAAUUGUUUUUAUAUUUAUAUAUUUAUUGUAUCUGUAAUAUUUAUGUUUGUUUUAUAUGUAUUAUACAUUUACAUAUUUUAUUA